ensembl:lncRNA
UUUUUUUUUUUUUUUUUGAGACAGAGUUUUGCUCUUCUUGUCUAGGCUGGAAUGCAAUGGCAUGAUCUUGGCUCACCACAACCUCUGCUUCCCAAGUUCCAGUGAUUCUCCUGCCUCAGCCUCCCGAGUAGCUGGGAUGACAGGCAUGAGCCACCACACCAGGCUGAUUUCAUAUUUUUAGUAGGGACGGGAUUUUUCCAUGUUGGUUAGGCUGGUCUUGAACUCUCAACCUUGGGUGAUCCGCCCAACUCGGCCUCCCAAAGUGCUGGGAUUACAGGUGUGAGCCACCACGCCUGGCCAAGGCCAUGUAAUUUGUUAAGUGGAAAGAUGAAGUACUUGAUGAACUCAGAAGUUUGACUUCAAGACCCUUGAUCUUUCCAUAACACGUGGUUCCUUCCCUGGUUGGUGGGGAGUGACUGAAGAACUCAAGGAAGCUGUGUUUUGUGGAAAGAAGACCUGAGGGGUGUAUGGUCUUUCCAGGCUUGGAAUUGCCAUGCUGGGCUUCUGAAUUGUGUAGCUGGGCCAUAUAGAGAGAAGCCCCUCAUUUAAGACUGAUUAUUUGGGGAAAAUAAAGGAAGGCCGCCCACAUGAGACAGGCAGAGAUGACUUUCUCAGAGCUGCUGUGGCAAGGGAGUCGGCACCAUCACUUGCGUGUGACAGAGACUGACAUGCAAGUGAGUGGCAGAUGAGGAGUGGGGAAGCUUCAGGAUGGAAAAGAACGGCUCUCAGUGGAGGCUGUUGUGGGGGCUGGAGGCGGCUGUGCAGAAGUGGGGUGUCCUAUGUGAUUCGUUAGGGGCGUAUUUGGCUUUCUUUGAAUUAUCCUAAAUGGAAAUAGGGGCCAAAAUUAGGGUGGAUGUCAGUUUUGAGUCAAGUCCUGGCCACGUGGGUCAGAAUCAUGGUUUAGUUUCUGGGUUGUGGAGAGAGAGCAGUUCGGCUUCCUGUCUGAUGUGCUAGCCUGGCUGGCCUCCUGGCUGUUUACUGUAGAUAGGGGAUUGGUUUCCUGGGUGGGCAGCUACAGGUUGUGGUCUGAGUUCUGUCUUUAUACAUAUGAUCAGGCAUGUUCUGUUUGUAUAUUCAGUCCCUCAUUUUUCUUGUCAGUAAAAAUAUCAAAUGACAAAUUGGAUACAUUGGGAACUUUUUAGAUGUCUGUGUCCCCUGGAGGAAGUUCUCACGUUCACAUUUAAUCAGAAUGAAUAUAAACAAUUGGGCCAUUUAUCUUGAAGUUGUAAAAUAGGAAAUCUUCAACAAUACUACCUCAGCGCCAUUGCCUGUCUGUCCAUCGUUAGGGAAUGUGUUUUUAUCCCCCGCCGGCUCAUCGUCCACCAGUUUGUGGUUGAUCCACUUCUCUAUACGUCUUGUCUUGUGUGCAUCUCAUUGUUUGCUAGUGUUAGCUUUCCCCUUGGUCAGUGUAGUUUAUUUGUGUAGCCUCUGUUGGUAGGAAGCUAUUUGUGGAAUUUGUGAAUGGAAGGGACCUUGGAGGUCUGCUAGGUCAGCCCAGUGAUUUUCAAGAUAAACGGAAAUACAGGGAAAUGUUCCAGCUUCUUUGGUGGCAAAACCAAGAAUAGAAAGCAGUGUUCUUUGUGCCACAAUGUCAUUGGAAGACAACUCAAGAUGGCCCUAAAAUGCAGAGUAACUAACUUUCAUUUAUCUCUGCUUCUGACUCUUGUUAUCAGACAUUUUAAAUUGACCUUAAUGUGUUCGCAGAAAUAUGAAAAGUUCUGACUUGUUUACAUAUAAGGUACUUUGUCGCCUACUCAUUUGGUUGUU